ensembl:snRNA U6 U6 spliceosomal RNA
AUGCUUGCUUCAGCAGCACAUAUACUAAAAUUGGAACGAUAUAGAGAUUAGCAUGGCCCCUGCGCAAGGAUGGCACCUGGAUUCAUGAAGCGUUGCAUGUUUUU